rnacentral:rRNA from 1 species
AUGAAACAAUGUGGGCAAGGGAAGUCGGCAAAACGGAUCCGUAACUUCGGGAAAAGGAUUGGCUCUGAGGACUGGGCUCGGGGGUCCCGGCCCCAAACCCGUCGGCUGUCGGCGGAUUGCUCGAGCUGCUCACGCGGCGAGAGCGGGUCGCCGCGUGCCGGCCGGGGGACGGACCGGGAAUCGCCCCUUCGGGGGCUUUCCCCGAGCAUGAAACAGUCGACUGAGAACUGGUACGGACAAGGGGAAUCCGACUAUUUAAUUAAAACAAAGCAUUGCGAUGGUCCUCGCGGAUGCUGA